rnacentral:rRNA from 1 species
AACGCUGGCGGCGUGCUUAACACAUGCAAGUCGAACGGAAAGGCCUUUUCGGAGGUACUCGAGUGGCGAACGGGUGAGUAACACGUGGGUGAUCUGCCCUGCACUCUGGGAUAAGCCUGGGAAACUGGGUCUAAUACCGGAUAGGACCGCACUUUAGUGUGUGUGGUGGAAAGUUUUUUCGGUGUAGGAUGAGCCCGCGGCCUAUCAGCUUGUUGGUGGGGUAAUGGCCUACCAAGGCGGCGACGGGUAGCCGGACUGAGAGGUUGGUCGGCCACAUUGGGACUGAGAUACGGCCCAGACUCCUACGGGAGGCAGCAGUGGGGAAUAUUGCACAAUGGGCGCAAGCCUGAUGCAGCGACGCCGCGUGGGGGAUGACGGCCUUCGGGUUGUAAACUCCUUCCGCCAGGGACGAAGCGUUUUGUGACGGUACCUGGAGAAGAAGCACCGGCUAACUACGUGCCAGCAGCCGCGGUAAUACGUAGGGUGCAAGCGUUGUCCGGAAUUACUGGGCGUAAAGAGCUCGUAGGUGGUUUGUCACGUCGUCUGUGAAAUUCCACAGCUUAACUGUGGGCGUGCAGGCGAUACGGGCUGACUUGAGUACUGUAGGGGUAACUGGAAUUCCUGGUGUAGCGGUGAAAUGCGCAGAUAUCAGGAGGAACACCGAUGGCGAAGGCAGGUUACUGGGCAGUUACUGACGCUGAGGAGCGAAAGCAUGGG